ACCGUACUCCUACGGGAGGCAGCAGUGGGGGAUCUUAGACAAUGGGGGCAACCCUGAUCUAGCCAUGCCGCGUGAGUGAUGAAGGCCUUCGGGUUGUAAAGCUCUUUCAGCUGGGAAGAUAAUGACGGUACCAGCAGAAGAAGCCCCGGCUAACUCCGUGCCAGCAGCCGCGGUAAUACGGAGGGGGCUAGCGUUGUUCGGAAUUACUGGGCGUAAAGCGCACGUAGGCGGACUGGAAAGUUGGAGGUGAAAUCCCAGGGCUCAACCUUGGAACUGCCUUCAAAACUAUCAGUCUGGAGUUCGAGAGAGGUGAGUGGAAUUCCGAGUGUAGGGGUGAAAUUCGUAGAUAUUCGGAGGAACACCAGUGGCGAAGGCGGCUCACUGGCUCGAUACUGACGCUGAGGUGCGAAAGUGUGGGGAGCAAACAGGAUUAGAAACCCUUGUAGUCCUUGAC
rnacentral:rRNA from 1 species